AUCCUGCCAGCAUACUAAGUAUGGUCAGA
rnacentral:piRNA from 1 species